rnacentral:rRNA from 1 species
GAUGAACGCUAGCGGGAGGCCUAACACAUGCAAGCCGAGCGGUAUUGUUUCUUCGGAAAUGAGAGAGCGGCGUACGGGUGCGUAACACGUGUGCAACCUGCCUUUAUCUGGGAGAUAGCCUUUCGAAAGGAAGAUUAAUACUCCAUAACAUAUUGAACGGCAUCGUUUAAUAUUGAAAGCUCCGGCGGAUAGAGAUGGGCACGCGCAAGAUUAGCUAGUUGGUGAGGUAACGGCUCACCAAGGCGAUGAUCUUUAGGGGGCCUGAGAGGGUGAUCCCCCACACUGGUACUGAGACACGGACCAGACUCCUACGGGAGGCAGCAGUGAGGAAUAUUGGACAAUGGGUGAAAGCCUGAUCCAGCCAUCCCGCGUGAAGGACGACUGCCCUAUGGGUUGUAAACUUCUUUUGUAUAGGGAUAAACCUACCCUCGUGAGGGUAGCUGAAGGUACUAUACGAAUAAGCACCGGCUAACUCCGUGCCAGCCGCCGCGGUAAUAC